rfam:Synechococcus phage S-RSM4 complete genome
GCGGAGUUAGUUCAGUGGUAGAACGCUAUCCUUCCAAGUUAGAUGUCGUCGGUUCGAAUCCGAUACUCCGCU